UUUUUGUAUCAUCCCCAACGAGAACUGCGAUCGACCUGCAAAAAGUGUAAAUUUUGUAUAAUUUUGUGUCCCGAAUGUGGGAAAACCCCAUCCGUGGCACGACUCCCACCACCUGCCUGUGCCACCGGCCAUCCCAUCUCUUUAUCAGCAUUCAACCAGCCAGCAGCGUCCUCGCCGGUCGAACAAAACCAGAAAACCGCGGCGAGCUUUUCAUUUCAAUUUGCUGCCAAAAAUGCCCACAGAUGUGGCAGUCGCGGAGGCGGAGGAGGGGGCAUGCAGCCGCUUGGUCGCUCGUUGGCCAAUUUAGUUUUAACGUUGCAGCUGGUGCUGGUGCUGGGUCUGGUGCUCCUUCUGUUAUCAUUCAAUUGCCGCCGCCCUCUGCUGCAAUUUUGAAUGCCAAGUGCAGGCAGUGGAGGUGGGAGCGUGAGGCGGCGGCACGUGAUCGUGGCCGAUAGGGAUUGAGCGACCACUAAACGCUGGGAGGUAUCGGCCCUCCCAUCCCUCUGGGAGGGAGGUACUCAAAAAGUUUAGGGGUAUCAAAGUAAAUGCCUGUAACACCCAGAAGGAGGCGUUUCCGACUCCUCAAAGUAUAUAUUCCUGAUCCACAUUAAUAGCCGAGUCGACCAUGUCUAGCAGAUGGCUAGAAGCAGACCUGAAGCAGAUGGAAUCCAAUAUUGCAGCCAGACUCACUCUUCCCCAUGCUGUGUGGUGUGGCUUUGGUGUGGUGUUGAUGUAAAAAGAGAAAGAAAGGGAAUGAAGUCUCAUUGGAAUGAUGAUCUCUUCAAAAUCAUAUCGCUGAGGAAAAUGGGAACUACCCAAAGCUGAUGCUGAAAUCAAUCUGGUCCGGAAAGAAGGAAGGAAGGAAGGAAUUCCCUAAGGAAAACAAAGGCAAAGGCUUAUAAGAAGGAUACUCCAUAUCUUUCUGUGAGACUUUCCCGGUUUCCCCCUGUAAUUGCUGCCAUCUCUAUGCCCUUCGAGUGCAUUCGAGUUCCGGACUCCGUCAUGGGUUUAAUUGGGCGAGUGCAAUCCUUCCCACUUUCGAGACAGCCACUUGGCUUGGCCUUUGGGCUCCCCUCACCAAAUUAGCUUGACUAACCCCUGGACAAGCAGAUGUUGACUCCCUCCCCCUCCCCUGGGACAUAUUGUCACCUCAAACACAGCAGACGAGGGCGAUGGCGAUGGCUGUUGACAACGGCAACAGCCCGUUGGGCAUUCGUUCCGUCCGGGCGUCAAGUGCAUGACUAUCUGAUUGCAUUCUGUGUGAAUAGUGGUUCGAAAAGCGUUUAAAAACAUUAAACUGCGUCCGGUUACGUGCCUGGAAUUUCGAGCUCCAACAGAAAGGAGCAGAGGGAGCACAAGGAGGGGUAUCGUAUCAGCUGAAUGGCCUAAUCCUAACAAAGGAGGAGGAGGAGGAGGAGGAGGAGGAGGGGUGUGCGUAUACCGCUCCACAUGCAUACCAAAUUGGUUUAAUUCAAUAACAUUUUCAAACAAACUUGUUUCAGAGGCCACAUCGCUUAUGAGUCAGCGUUUUAAAUUGCUUUCGUUGGAGCCCUGCUCCACGCCGCGAGCCAUUUUCAGUUAUGUUGCUCAAAAGUCUGGAAAGUAAUUCUAUUAAAAACAACAAAAAUAAUGCAAGAAAAUAACUACGCUCCCGACUAAAAGAACUAACUACAUCAGCGGCCACGACGAUGGGUGGCAGUGAGGAGGGGGAGAGGCGGGGCCCGGAACGUGAGCUCGAUAACAUUUUAGCUGGAUAAACAAAUUUCUUUGGCGAGUGAGCAAGAGCAAAGCAAAUAUGAAAUUCCAUUAAUUUGAUGGAUGCUUCAGGCAGAACCAAGAACCGGCAACCGGCAACCGGUAUGGAAAUAUGUGAUAGGACUUCGGCUUCGAGUACAACAUGCACCACGGGACUUAUGAUUAAUGCAAUGUCUGCCGCACAGUCGGUGUCGAGAGGACAACAAUGAAUUAAUUAAUGAAGUGCACACACCCAUGCAACCAAAAGCAGACCCAUAACAAUGCAUUUACAUAUGUAUAUCCCCAGUAACUAUAGUUUUUAUGGUCUUUCUUCAGGUUGUCAAGAUUUCUGUGCCUCUUGAUGGAUGGUGGCUGCAGCCACAACAGAUGUCUCCCUCUGCUAUCUGUUUGGAUCAUUGCCGCACACAGGAUACAUCCAUCGCCUUGAUAGGUUUUCCUACAACCCGGAGGUCAUCAUAUAGGCUAUCAUUAGGCACUAAUGACAUUGCUGUGAUGGUUGUAUCGUACGAAUGGACGCUUUGCUUAAGAAACAAUUAUCGAAGAAGACAUGUAAGCCAAUCGGAUAUCUAUUCAUAUACUUAAUCAGCCUAUAUUUUUUUUCCGGUCGUGAUAAUUGGAACCCAACAUAAGGAAAGGAACGAAGAACUUGUAGGCAUCACUUCACCUUGUCCUUUCCAUCUAAAACGGAGAGUACAGUGGAUCGCUUUGUCUGAGAAAACACCCGAAAGUGGAGCUGAAGCCGCGCAUGGAACACCGGAAAUGAUCUCCCAUCAAACGUGUCCAGUUUAAAGACAUCGAACUAUCACUCAGGAAAGGUUAUGUGACGCCGCAACGGGCAGAGCACCGGGAAAUGGAGGCUUCUCCUAUUCCAACACAUAGAAGACCCCCCUUUAAGUCCUUUAAGUUUCAAAUUUAAAUCUUUAAACAAUUAAUUCCACACAAAAUUCGUUACGCAUUCCAUAAUGUCCAUGAAAUUCCAUAAUCCAUUCAGCCGUUGGCCCCCACCAUUGCAUCAGGCGGAUAAAAACUUACUUCGCGACGUCUGGAACUAUGGGAAUGCCUUGCCACCCCGCUCCUCCCUCCUCCUCCUCCUCCUGCUCCAAGUGGCAAAAAGUGUAUGCAACAUAAUCUCUCUGUUUGGGCAGGGGGCAAAAGCGAUUUCCAAGUCAUUGGGCAAGCCCAACUAUGCCAUAUAAUCGCAUGAUAUAUGCCUAAUCUCUGCUGGAAACUUCUCUCUGCAAGUGGCAGAAGGGCAAUGUGCAGGUUCGCGCUGGAGGAGAGUCAA